CUGGCAUACUGUUACUGAUAAUAUAUUUAUACUUUUCACUGUGAUUUGCCCAAUUGUUGCUUUAGCUCUGGACCUUGUCAAGAAGUUGUUGGUAGUGCAUCCAAAGGCAUGUUUUACGACAGAAGAAGCCUUAAGACACCAUGGUUUCAGGAUGAAGACAUGAAGAGAAAGUUUCAAGAUCUUCUGUCUGAGGAAAAUGAAUCCACAGCUCUACCCCAGUUUCUAGCCCAGCCUUCUACUAGUCGAAAGCGGCCUCCUGAAGGGGAAGCCGAGGGUGCCGAGACCACAAAGCGCCCGGCUGUGUGUGCUGCUGUGUUGUGAACUCCGUGGUUUGAACAUGAAAGAAAUGUACCUUCUUUCACUCUGUCAUCUUUCUUUUCUUUGAGUCUGUUUUUUUAUAGUUUGUAUAUUAAUUAUGGAAAUAAUUGCUUUUUCACAGUCACUGAUGUACAAUUAAAAACCUGAUGGAACCUGGGC
rnacentral:lncRNA from 1 species